rnacentral:rRNA from 1 species
AAUGAACGCUGGCGGCAUGCCUAACACAUGCAAGUCGAACGAGACCUUCGGGUCUAGUGGCGCACGGGUGCGUAACGCGUGGGAACCUGCCCUUAGGUUCGGAAUAACUCCCCGAAAGGGGUGCUAAUACCGGAUAAUGUCUUCGGACCAAAGAUUUAUCGCCUUUGGAUGGGCCCGCGUUGGAUUAGCUAGUUGGUAGGGUAAAAGCCUACCAAGGCGACGAUCCAUAGCUGGUCUGAGAGGAUGAUCAGCCACACUGGGACUGAGACACGGCCCAGACUCCUACGGGAGGCAGCAGUGGGGAAUAUUGGACAAUGGGCGAAAGCCUGAUCCAGCAAUGCCGCGUGAGUGGUGAAGGCCUUAGGGUUGUAAAGCUCUUUUACCCGGGAUGAUAAUGACAGUACCGGGAGAAUAAGCUCCGGCUAACUCCGUG